UCCACUGAGGAUGGCCACUUAAGUGGGCACUUUCAAUCCAGCAAAACGCACAGCUCAUCCAACACCCGGCCCUACUACCCUCCCCAAAACUCCUCCAAGUUAUGUGGCCCAAGGCCCUGGCUGCCCAGUCGGCGUCGCAAGUGGGACACCAUGGGCACAAAAUAUUCCCAGUCAUCCUACCUUCCAGUAAUGCAGGCUCCACAGGGUGGGAGAUCAGCCCUGGGUCCAACCACCUGGACGGGAGCGCAGCACCCUCACCGGGGCCCCACACAUCCCUGGCCAGCCACCAGCCUCCUGGAAGAUGCCUGCCUCCCAAACUCACAGAGCCGGAGAGCCCUGGCAAGCAGCUUCAUCCUGCGGAUAGGGAUGGGAAGAACACUGGAUCUGGAGUCAGAAGACUUGGGCAGGGGCUGUCCCUGGAGCUCCUGGAGCAGGAUGACCUUACACAGUUACUCAACUCCCAAAACUGCCAUUUCCUCCUCCACACAGAGUCGAUGGGAGCAGAACAGCCAUACAGCUAAAGUCAAAGGGGCAGGGCUCCCCCAAAGACGUUCCCCCUCUGGAAAAGUCAAAACCGACCUUGAGGUAAGGAGAGGCCCUCGACCAGGCCAGAAGAUGAGACUGAGAGUCAAGGAGCGCCGUAGACCCAGGACUUGCUAUAUGCCCAGCCUUCCUGGAGAUGUCAACAUCUACAGGAAAGUAACUUGCUUCUAUUGGACUUGGCUUGAGCCCAAGGUCAGUCUGUGAUGCCCAACCCCCAAAUGUGAGGAACCCACUACCAAAACAGAAAGCAGCUCUCACUCCUGGUAGUUCAUCAAGCAGGAUAGGACCGGUCGCAGGCCACAGAGCCUGUGUGCAGGGACUGAAAACCUAGACUCCUUGUCCUCACUUAGCUCAUGCACAAAUGCCAGCCUGCUGCUUCCGAUUCUGCCGAAGAGAACUGCAGAGUAACCUUGAGGCUGC